GAUGAAGAACGUAGCGAAAUGCGAUAAGUAAUGUAAAUUGCAGAAUUCAGUGAAUCAUCGAAUCUUUGAACGCACAUUGCGCCCCCUGGUAUUCCGGGGGGCAUGCCUGUCCGAGCGUCAUUACAACCCUCAAGCUCAGCUUGGUGUUGGGCCCCGCCGCCCCGGCGGGCCCUAAAGUCAGUGGCGGUGCCGUCCGGCUCCGAGCGUAGUAAUUCUUCUCGCUCUGGAGGUCCGGUCGUGUGCUCGCCAGCAACCCCCAAUUUUUUUCAGGUUGACCUCGGAUCAGGUAGGGAUACCCGCUGAACUUAAGCAUAUCAAUAAGCGGAGGA
rnacentral:misc_RNA from 1 species